CAUGUAGUAUAAAUAAAAAUCUGUUCUCUUUACAGAAAAUAAAAAUAAAAAAUCGGAGAUGAAAAUCUGAAAUAAAACAACUAAAGCCGAAAAAAGCUGCAACACGGAGAUAGCAAAACCCCCCAAAAAAAAACAAUGGCGGACGUCGCUAAUCUGACCAUACGCUGUUGUUCUCCAUCAAUUCUCAGCAGAAGAACUUCUAAGAAUGUAAUCUCUUGUUUCUCUCUCAACAACAUAUCUUCUCUUUCAGUUCUUAGAUCUUACGAUAUUAGGACCAGAAACCGAGGACCAGUUAAAAUUAUUGAUGGCGGAAAUAAAAGAAGAAAUGGGAUUGCAGUGGUUCGAGCAAUGUCUGCAUCUUUUGGGUCUCGAUUAGAAGAAAAUGUCAAGAAAACACUUUCUGAUAAUCCCGUUGUUAUUUAUUCUAAAACUUGGUGUUCGUAUUCUUCUGAGGUGAAGUCUUUGUUCAAGCGAUUAGGUGCGGAACCACUUGUUAUUGAAUUGGAUGAGAUGGGUCCUCAAGGGCCUGAAUUGCAGAAGGUGCUAGAAAGGUUAACAGGACAACAUACUGUGCCAAAUGUUUUCAUCGUAUAUCAUGUGAUCAUUUGGAUGACGAUAAUGCUUUAUAAAGAAGGUCUUGUUUUUGUUAAUUGGACAAUUCAUCCAUUCGGUUAACCGCUAAACUGAGUUUUCAUCUUUUAACAGCUGGGAAGCACAUUGGUGGAUGUACAGACACGGUAAAGCUACACCGAAAAGGAGAACUUGAAUCCUUAUUGUCAGAAGCAAAGAGCCAAAAUACCCGGAGUUAGCAAACCAGUGGAUGGGGUUAUUCGAAAUCGUUAAAUCAGCUUUUCAUUUGUAUUUAUGAGGGUUCUGUCAUUAUAUAUGUUUUUCGUUUACAAAAAACUAAAUUCAUUUUUAUCGUUCUAGGUUUCAGCUGUAAAAAUGAUACAUUUGUAACUUACGGAAUCAAAUUAAGAAAUCUCUUGAUACA